GUCCUACGGGGCGCAGCAGUGGGGAAUAUUGCACAAUGGGGGGAACCCUGAUGCAGCGACGCCGCGUGGGUGAAGGAGUAUUUCGGUAUGUAAAGCCCUAUCAGCAGGGAAGAACAAUGACGGUACCUGACUAAGAAGCACCGGCUAAAUACGUGCCAGCAGCCGCGGUAAUACGUAGGUGGCAAGCGUUGUCCGGAUUUACUGGGUGUAAAGGGCGUGUAGCCGGGUUGACAAGUCAGAUGUGAAAUCCUGCGGCUUAACCGCAGAACUGCAUUUGAAACUGUUGAUCUUGAGUACUGGAGAGG
rnacentral:rRNA from 1 species